rnacentral:rRNA from 1 species
GACGAACGCUGGCGGCGUGCCUAAUACAUGCAAGUAGAACGCUGAAGGAGGAGCUUGCUUCUCUGGAUGAGUUGCGAACGGGUGAGUAACGCGUAGGUAACCUGCCUUGUAGCGGGGGAUAACUAUUGGAAACGAUAGCUAAUACCGCAUAAUAGUAGAUGUUGCAUGACAUUUGCUUAAAAGGUGCAAUUGCCUCACUACCAGAUGGACCUGCGUUGUAUUAGCUAGUUGGUGGGGUAACGGCUCACCAAGGCGACGAUACAUAGCCGACCUGAGAGGGUGAUCGGCCACACUGGGACUGAGACACGGCCCAGACUCCUACGGGAGGCAGCAGUAGGGAAUCUUCGGCAAUGGACGGAAGUCUGACCGAGCAACGCCGCGUGAGUGAAGAAGGUUUUCGGAUCGUAAAGCUCUGUUGUAAGAGAAGAACGAGUGUGAGAGUGGAAAGUUCACACUGUGACGGUAUCUUACCAGAAAGGGACGGCUAACUACGU